AUAUAAUUGCUGCUUCAUCAGGCUUGUAUUUUUGAUUAAAGAGAAUAUCAGCUGAAGAUGGAAUCCGAGCCAUACAAAUUAAUAUGUUUUCAGGAAAAGCAUAUUAAGUAUUAGGUCUGAGAGCUAAGGACAGGUUCUAGAAGAAGACUCUUCAUUGCUCUGGGUACUACAUUCCUGCCUUUGGGAAAAUAAUUGAGUGUUUUCCAUUGUAAAUUGUGCAAUAAGGACUGACCUGGUCUCAAGUAUCUAUAAUCCUGAAAAUUUGGUGAUGUUGCCACCUCUCUUAGUUGAUCUCACCAAAACCUCAUGUCUCCCAGCAGAAUAUGGAGAUCAUUUUGCAUGACAGUUAACAUUAUGAAAUAAUUUUGUAUAUGAAAAAGCAGUUUCCUAUGACUUCUACUGUAAUGGAAAGCACUUGUGAUUCAUGCCAAUACUGAGGUGGAAUACGAGAACAACAGACUAAAGCCAUCCUCCAGCCCCUUGUGUAACCCAGGACAUAUUUUCCAUGUCUGGAUGAAGCAGUCCUCUAUAACUCUGUACAUUCACCACAUUUAAUAUUUUAAGUAAUGGCCAUUCUCUGCUCUGAAUGAGAGGCAGGGUGCCCAGAGGAAAAUGAGCAUGUAGUCACUUCUUUUGGAGUCAUAUCCUACUACCUGGGUACAACAAGGCCAAAGGCAGAUAUAUUU
rnacentral:lncRNA from 7 species